rnacentral:siRNA from 1 species
CGCUGCCGUGAUCGUGGUCUGC